rnacentral:rRNA from 1 species
AAGGUUUCCUACGCGAUGCUCGUCAUCGUAGGGUUAGUCGGGUCCUAAGUCGAGUCCGAAAGGGGUAGACGAUGGCAAAUUGGUUAAUAUUCCAAUACCAACAUUAGUGUGCGAUGGAAGGACGCUUAGGGCUAAGGGGGCUAGCGGAUGGAAGUGCUAGUCUAAGGUCGUAGGAGGUUAUACAGGCAAAUCCGUAUAACAAUACUCCGAGAACUGAAAGGCUUUUUGAAGUCUUCGGAUGGAUAGAAGAACCCCUGAUGCCGUCGAGCCAAGAAAAGUUUCUAAGUUUAGCUAAUGUUGCCCGUACCGUAAACCGACACAGGUGGGUGGGAUGAGUAUUCUAAGGCGCGUGGAAGAACUCUCUUUAAGGAACUCUGCAAAAUAGCACCGUAUCUUCGGUAUAAGGUGUGGUUAGCUUUGUAUUAGGAUUUACUCCGAAAGCAAGGAAACUUACAACAAAGAGUCCCUCCCGACUGUUUACCAAAAACACAGCACUCUGCUAACUCGUAAGAGGAUGUAUAGGGUGUGACGCCUGCCCGGUGCUCGAAGGUUAAUUGAUGGGGUUAGCAUUAGCGAAGCUCUUGAUCGAAGCCCGAGUAAACGGCGGCCGUAACUAUAACGGUCCUAAGGUAGCGAAAUUCCUUGUCGGUUAAAUACCGACCUGCAUGAAUGGCGUAACGAGAUGGGAGCUGUCUCAAAGAGGGAUCCAGUGAAAUUGUAGUGGAGGUGAAAAUUCCUCCUACCCGCGGCAAGACGGAAAGACCCCGUGGACCUUUACUACAGCUUGACACUGCUACUUGGAUAAGAAUGUGCAGGAUAGGUGGGAGGCUUUGAGUAUAUGACGCCAGUUGUAUAUGAGCCAUUGUUGAGAUACCACUCUUUCUUAUUUGGGUAGCUAACCAGCUUGAGUUAUCCUCAAGUGGGACAAUGUCUGGUGGGUAGUUUGACUGGGGCGGUCGCCUCCCAAAUAAUAACGGAGGCUUACAAAGGUUGGCUCAGAACGGUUGGAAAUCGUUCGUAGAGUAUAAAGGUAUAAGCCAGCUUAACUGCAAGACAUACAAGUCAAGCAGAGACGAAAGUCGGUCUUAGUGAUCCGGUGGUUCUGUGUGGAAGGGCCAUCGCUCAAAGGAUAAAAGGUACCCCGGGGAUAACAGGCUGAUCUCCCCCAAGAGCUCACAUCGACGGGGAGGUUUGGCACCUCGAUGUCGGCUCAUCGCAUCCUGGGGCUGGAGCAGGUCCCAAGGGUAUGGCUGUUCGCCAUUUAAAGCGGUACGCGAGCUGGGUUCAGAACGUCGUGAGACAGUUCGGUCCCUAUCUGCCGUGGGCGUAAGAAGAUUGAAGAGAUUUGACCCUAGUACGAGAGGACCGGGUUGAACAAACCACUGGUGUAGCUGUUGUUCUGCCAAGAGCAUCGCAGCGUAGCUAAGUUUGGAAAGGAUAAACGCUGAAAGCAUCUAAGCGUGAAGCCAACUCUAAGAUGAAUCUUCUCUAAGCUCUCUAGAAGACUACUAGUUUGAUAGGCUGGGUGUGUAAUGGAUGAAAGUCCUUUAGCUGACCAGUACUAAUAGAGCGUUUGGCUUAUCUUUAAUAAAGCAU